rnacentral:rRNA from 1 species
GACGAACCGUGCGAACGUUGUUCGGAUUCACUGGGCUUAAAGGGCGCGUAGGCGGGCGACCAAGUCCGGGGUGAAAUCUUUCGGCUCAACCGGAAGAGUGCCUUGGAUACUGGUUGCCUCGAGGGAGGUAGGGGCAUGCGGAACUUCCGGUGGAGCGGUGAAAUGCGUAGAUAUACGGAAGGAACGCCGGUGGCGAAAGCGGCGUGCUGGACCUCUUCUGACGCUGAGGCGCGAAAGCCAGGGGAGCGAACGGG